UACGAAGGGGGCUAGCGUUGCUCGGAAUCACUGGGCGUAAAGCGCACGUAGGCGGAUUGCUAAGUCAGGGGUGAAAUCCUGGAGCUCAACUCCAGAACUGCCCUUGAUACUGGCGGUCUCGAGUUCGGGAGAGGUGAGUGGAACUGCGAGUGUAGAGGUGAAAUUCGUAGAUAUUCGCAAGAACACCAGUGGCGAAGGCGGCUCACUGGCCCGAUACUGACGCUGAGGCACGAAAGCGUGGGGAGCAAACAGG
rnacentral:rRNA from 1 species